rnacentral:pre_miRNA from 1 species
UUAUCUCAAAUUUAGUAUGGAGUUGGAACGUAUGCCUACGUUUGCUGUUAGGGUCGCUGUUUCAAACGCAUACAAAUUUGACUUA